UUGAUGUUCCUUUUAGGUUGUGUUAGAUAAUUUAAAUAACAUAAUACUAUUGUCUUUUGAGCAAUAUUUUGCAAUUAGAGAAAGCUUUAAGGUUAGUUAACCUUAACUUUUACUAAGAUUCAAGGAAAAAAGAGAAGAAAAACCUUUCAAAAAACCUUUUAAGCUCACAACCAAGGUGUGUGUGUGUGUGUAUAUAUAUUAGGUUUUCGAUUUUU
rnacentral:lncRNA from 1 species